ACAGUCAGAAGUCUACAGCUUGAACGCCUACAGCCCACACGCCUCCGGUCUUUUGUCUCAACUCUCCAUCAGGUAAGUAAAAACCCUGUGUUUAAUGAAGGUGCAGUGUUUAGGGCUGAUCUGAGGUCUGGUAAAAGGUUUGAGGCUGACGUGAGGUCUUUUGGUGAUGCUGUAGGCCUGUUAGAAAUUAUUUUCUGUAAGUAAUAAUUAUUUUGUAUUUCUUCCAGUCUACCAGAAGAAAAUACCUGCCAGUAACCUACAGUCAGAAGUCUACAGCUUGAACGCCUACAGCCCACACGCCUCCGGUCUUUUGUCUCAGCUCUCCAUCAGGCUCCGGAAGUCCUGACAUAACCAGCUAGCCAGAACCUUAAUACAGUACAAAAAUGGCAGCCAAGUGCAGCAGUCGUUCUUUUCAAACUGCGUGGACAAAUGACUUUGGUUUUGUUAAGAGAGGAGAUCGAGCCAUAUGUUCUCUAUGUUGUGAACAUGUUGUGUGCCGAACAUCGAGUGUGCGGCGUCACUUUGAAACAAAGCAUGAGAAAAAGUUCAAAGAUGAAGCAGACAGAGCAGAAAGUAUCAGGAGAGCUGUGGCAAAAUAUGAAAAGCAAAGUGUUUUGUUUAAAGGCCUAAGCAACACUAGAACUCUGGCUACACAAGCCAGCUUUAAACUUUCUGAAUGUAUUGCCAAACAUGGAAAACCAUUUACAGAUGGAGAGUACUUGAAAGAUACCUUCCUAAGCAGUGCAGACAUUUUAUUUGAUGGGUUACCAAACAAAGAGACAAUUAUUUCAAGAAUUAAAGAUUUGCCAGCUUCAGCAAGAACUGUAGAACGAAGGA